GGUCGGAUGGUGUAGUGGUUAUCACGUCAGUUUAACACUCUGAAGGUCCCCAGUUCGAACCUGGGUCCGAUCA